GGGGAGCCCAGGACUCUGUAUACACAUUCAGAAACAAGGUCAAAGAGAGCGUGGAGCAAUCAUCCAAUGAAUCCAAAUUCCACAUCAGCCCAGGAAAGGGCCCUUGUGAAUUGAUGAAUAUGAAGACACUAAGAAAGCAGAAAUAGAACUGAGAAGAAUGAAAUAACUGUCUCUACCUUUCUCGAAUUGUCUAAUAUGGAAAGAAUGAAAGACAGCUAAUAAGCAACUCUCUGCAAGAAGACAUAUGGCUUAGGUUCUGCUGAGCUAUUGGUGAUUUGAUUCCAUGCAUAUGUAUUCACUACUGAAUCUACUUGGAGAGAGUCAAACACAGAAUCCCUUUGAAUUUAAUGGCCAUUCCAGGUGAUUUGAACAGCCAAAUAAGAAACAGGUCCUCUUCAAUGUACAAUCUGCCAAGUAUGAAGUCUGAAUGACCAUCAUUAUUAUGUAUUUAAUGUGCAUAGAAAAUCUAUCUGCAACCUUCCAGAGUGUACCAGAAGUUUGGAAUGUACAUUAUUAUUGGCUCCAUCUCAAACCACUCAUAAAUCAAAGAAAAUAGCAGUUCCAGAGGAAUCAUCAUAGAGGCUUCUAGGCCCCCAUGCUGUGUGAACCUGGUGAGAAAGGGAAGUCUGCUCUCACUGGACACUGGAACUGUUUGUCUCUGUCUCUGCUGUACUUUCCCUGCCUCUACCUCACUUAGUAAAGAAAUCAUCUUUGCUUGAUAACUAAAACAACCAAUAAGGCUGAGAAAGGGGAAAACCCACAUCUGGAUUUAAAUACAAGGUAUUGGGCCAGCUGCUGGGGAUUAAACUUUGAACAAAACAGAUAGAAUCUAUGUCCUCAUGGGAGUGGCUAAUGGGAGAGUCGGAACAAAAAAAUAGCCAAGGAUAAUCCAGCAAAUGAUUUGGUGAAUGCUAUCAAAGAGAGAAAUACACAUGCUCUGGGAACACCAAACAGAGUCUUGCUCUUGUUGCCCAGGCUGGAGUAUGAUGGUGCGAUCUCAGUUCACUGCAACCCCUGCCUCCCAGGUUCAAGUGAUUCUCCUACCUCAGCCUCCUGAGUAGCAGGGAUUAUAGGUACAAGCCACCACACCCGGCUAAUUUUUAUAUUUUUAGUAGAGACGGGGUUUCACCACAUUGGCCAGGCUGGUCUCGAACUCCUGACCUCAGGUAAUCUGCCCCUCGGCCUCCCAAAAUGCUGGGAUUAACAGGCAUGAGCCACAGCACCUGGCUGACUUUGCCUGUUUUAUAAUUUCACACAAUAAAAUCAUGCACUGUGCAUUUCUUUGUAUUGUCUCCUUUCACUCAGCAUAAUGUCUGUGUGAUUCAACCCUGUGGUGAUGUGUCAUUUUUUUAAAAAAAAUUAAGAUAUUUUAUUAUAUGAACAUACCAUAAUUUGUUUAUUCAUUUGGUGAACAUUGUGUUGAUGCCAGGUUUGGG
rnacentral:lncRNA from 1 species